UUUCCUCUGCCAUGCUCGUGAGCGGUGACAUAUUUGGGUGAGCCGAUAACGAGAACCGCUUGGGGGCCGAAUUAUCGGUGCCGAUCGCGUGUAUAGCCGUCGUGGACAGUCGCUAAUCCGGCUGAACCUUCCGGCGGAUCACACAACUCGGUGCCUAGGCACCCCCCUUACUCUGCGGGCUCUCGCAAAGCUCGCUGCCACGGCAUUGCGGUGGAGGGAUU
rnacentral:other from 1 species